rnacentral:rRNA from 2 species
UGCAAGUCGAACGCGUUGGCCCAAUUGAUUGAUGGUGCUUGCACCUGAUUGAUUUUGGUCGCCAACGAGUGGCGGACGGGUGAGUAACACGUAGGUAACCUGCCCAGAAGCGGGGGACAACAUUUGGAAACAGAUGCUAAUACCGCAUAACAACGUUGUUCGCAUGAACAACGCUUAAAAGAUGGCUUCUCGCUAUCACUUCUGGAUGGACCUGCGGUGCAUUAGCUUGUUGGUGGGGUAACGGCCUACCAAGGCGAUGAUGCAUAGCCGAGUUGAGAGACUGAUCGGCCACAAUGGGACUGAGACACGGCCCAUACUCCUACGGGAGGCAGCAGUAGGGAAUCUUCCACAAUGGGCGCAAGCCUGAUGGAGCAACACCGCGUGAGUGAAGAAGGGUUUCGGCUCGUAAAGCUCUGUUGUUAAAGAAGAACACGUAUGAGAKUAACUGUUCAUACGUUGACGGUAUUUAACCAGAAAGUCACGGCUAACUACGUGCCAGCAGCCGCGGUAAUACGUAGGUGGCAAGCGUUAUCCGGAUUUAUUGGGCGUAAAGAGAGUGCAGGCGGUUUUCUAAGUCUGAUGUGAAAGCCUUCGGCUUAACCGGAGAAGUGCAUCGGAAACUGGAUAACUUGAGUGCAGAAGAGGGUAGUGGAACUCCAUGUGUAGCGGUGGAAUGCGUAGAUAUAUGGAAGAACACCAGUGGCGAAGGCGGCUACCUGGUCUGCAACUGACGCUGAGACUCGAAAGCAUGGGUAGCGAACAGGAUUAGAUACCCUGGUAGUCCAUGCCGUAAACGAUGAGUGCUAGGUGUUGGAGGGUUUCCGCCCUUCAGUG